GGAGACGGAGGGACGCGGGGCGGGGCGCGCGGGGCAGGCGCGGGCUCCUCGCAGGGGGCUGCCGGUCUGGGCGGGGCUCGUGCAAGUUCACGCCGCGCGGCGCGGGUGCUCAAGUGCUGCGCUGGUGCCGCCCCGCCCCGCCCCCAAUUUUAUGCUCCUCUCUCUGACCAGCAAUCCCGGUGGAUUGCAGGACAGGAGGCGUGCAGGGGGGAAGCGGGCAGCCCAGGUUUCCGAUUUACUGGCCUCGGCCAGAGUGGGGUCUGCGCGCUGAGUCCGGGUCCUUCGGGUGCGUGGAGGGCAGUUCGUUCAACUUGGACUCCUCCGCGCGCUCCUGGCUCCGCGGGGACCCAGGGUCUGCGUUGGAGUCAGAGGGCUGCUGUUUCCGGGCCGGCAGCCACAGUGCGCCCCCAACCCGUCUCUUUCCCUUCUCGACGGCCCUGGUCGCCCCAAAGCGAACCGCGCGGGGAGCGUGUGCCCGAACCGCAGACCGGCGGCCCGCACCACCGCCUCCAGGCCGUCGGCGCUCGCCGGCCCCUGGAACUCCACGUUUUCUGUCUGCCCAAUUCUCGGGGCUGGGCCCGCAGGCACCUUUGCCUACGACGGACUUGAAUUCGGCCAGUUCCCAAGUUCUGCCCUGACACCGGCGUGCCCCGAAUCCUCAGCACCCGCGGCCCUCCCCGGUGGGAGCCGCGGCGUCGCUCCCAGGCCACCCCACCUGGGCAAGUGCCCUCGCCGAGCCUGGCCUUCGUGGCUCGGUGCACCCUGUAGGGCGCAGGAGCUCCUUCCAGGAAGACGAGGAUGUUUUCAGAGUUCCAAAGCCACUCUGGCUAAGAAGUCCGGUCUCGGCCACUGAAGAGGAACGAUUCGUUAUGAGAGCAGUGUGCUGUGCAAGGGAGAGCUCUGCCGUUCCAACGAUUGAGCACCAGGUCUGGCAGCGAGAAGAGUUUUGUUGCAUAAAUAAAUCUUAUCAUUCAGUUAUGUCUAUCCCCUAAAUCACCAGAUUAUUGCCACAGUAUCUCUUUUUGUUUACAUCACGAAGAUUAUCUACACAUAUCAAAUUACCUGGAUCAUUGCCCACUCUUCCUUUCACUUUUUACUAAAAGCACCUUUGGUUCUUAGAUUUUAAAAAAGCAAUCAAGGCCGGCGCCGCGGCUCACUAGGCUAAUCCUCCGCCUAGCGGCGCCGGCACACCGGGUUCUAGUCCCGGUCGGGGCGCCGGAUUCUGUCCCGGUUGCCCCUCUUCCAGGCCAGCCCUCUGCUGUGGCCAGGGAGUGCAGUGGAGGAUGGCCCAGGUGCUUGGGCCCUGCACCCCAUGGGAGACCAGGAAAAGCACCUGGCUCCUGGCUCCUGCCAUCGGAUCAGCGCGGUGCGCCGGCCGCAGCGCGCCGGCC